GCUGGAAUAGCUCAUUCGGUAGAGCAUGAGACUUAAAUCUUGAGAUUGUGGGUUUGAGCCCCACAUUGGUA